rnacentral:rRNA from 1 species
AACGCUAGCUACAGGCUUAACACAUGCAAGUCGAGGGGCAGCAUGGUCUUAGCUUGCUAAGGCUGAUGGCGACCGGCGCACGGGUGAGUAACACGUAUCCAACCUGCCGUCUACUCUUGGCCAGCCUUCUGAAAGGAAGAUUAAUCCAGGAUGGCAUCAUGAGUUCACAUGUCCGCACGAUUAAAGGUAUUUUCCGGUAGACGAUGGGGAUGCGUUCCAUUAGAUAGUAGGCGGGGUAACGGCCCACCUAGUCAACGAUGGAUAGGGGUUCUGAGAGGAAGGUCCCCCACAUUGGAACUGAGACACGGUCCAAACUCCUACGGGAGGCAGCAGUGAGGAAUAUUGGUCGAUGGGCGAUGGCCUGAACCAGCCAAGUAGCGUGAAGGAUGACUGCCCUAUGGGUUGUAAACUUCUUUUAUAAAGGAAUAAAGUCGGGUAUGCAUACCCGUUUGCAUGUACUUUAUGAAUAAGGAUCGGCUAACUCCGUGCCAGCAGCCGCGGUAAUACGGAGGAUCCGAGCGUUAUCCGGAUUUAUUGGGUUUAAAGGGAGCGUAGAUGGAUGUUUAAGUCAGUUGUGAAAGUUUGCGGCUCAACCGUAAAAUUGCAGUUGAUACUGGAUGUCUUGAGUGCAGUUGAGGCAGGCGGAAUUCGUGGUGUAGCGGUGAAAUGCUUAGAUAUCACGAAGAACUCCGAUUG